AGGAGGAGGAGGAGGAGGUCGGUGAUGAUUCAACUUCAGACAACACCCAUCAUGCAUCUCUGCUACCCACCUUUCAUCAUUGGGUCCAACCAGGGGGUUGGAUCCAGCGAAGCCCGGCAUGUUGAUGUGGUCUUUGAUGAUCAUGACGUCUCCCACUUUGUAGUCCUGGUUGAGGCCUCCGGCCGCGUUGGUCAGGAUCAUUGUCUCCACACCCAACAGCUUGAAGACGCGCAUGGGCAGCGUGAUCUGUGAGAGCACCACCUCUCAGUGGACUCAAACUUGGUGACUCAACCCAUGCUUUUCUUCGGCAUCUCGGACGCUAAGGACUAAAGUACAACACACACAUCACAAAUCUUAUAUCAGUUGUAAAAACAAUGUAACAGCAACCAUUGCUUUACUAAGAUUAUGUAACAAAGUAAUUGUGGUGUGUCGUGAGAGAAUGGUAAGCAGCUCAGUUAAUUAAAUAUUCAAUGCAGUAAACAAUGAAUGAAUGGAUAAAUGAGAUUCUUGAACAUCAUUUCUGAUGAUUUAAAAAUGACAGCAGAAACCUCUAAACUCUCUGUGACCCAUUCUCUCCCGCUCUGUGUGUAUGUGUGUGCAAGAGAGAGAGAGAGCAGUGCAGGAAGUGAAACUUUGAGAAGAAAAACAAAAAACAAAAAAAAUAAAUAUGCAGGAGAUGGCAUGGAGAGCAAAAUAAAAAAGGCUGCAAAGAAAGGGAGGGAUGAAUGAAACGGAGGAGCAAGGAUUCAGAUUCCUGCAUAACCUUGCACCUUCUACUGCAAGGUCGGUGGACAACCGCAAAGAAAGAAUCCUAAUCUCGCCUAUAGGGUACUGAAAUGCAUAGGCUCUGCACUACUCAAUCUGCAGUGCGACCGGAUUUGCACCUUAAGUGGUGUUGCAGAAGAGGAGGAUGAGAGAGCAAUCUUAUCUUAUUGGGAAUAAACUCGCCUCCUGU